GACGGAGGGUGCUAGCGUUGUUCGGAAUUACUGGGCGUAAAGGGCGCGUAGGCGGCCGCUCGCGUCGGAUGUGAAAGCCCGGGGCUCAACCCCGGAACGGCAUCCGAUACGGGGCGGCUGGAGACCGGGAGAGGAGGGUGGAAUAGCCAGUGUAGAGGUGAAAUUCGUAGAUAUUGGCUGGAACACCGGUGGCGAAAGCGGCUCUCUGGCCCGGUUCUGACGCUGAGGCGCGAAAGCGUGGGGAGCAAACAGG
rnacentral:rRNA from 1 species